CCGGGAUGCUCCAAGGUCCCGGGAUGUUCCAAAAGCCCUGGGAUGCUCCAAGGCCUUCGGGAGGCUCAAGGCCCUGGGAUGCUCUGAGCCCCUGCCAUGAUCCCAAACCCAGGAUGCUCCAAAACCCUGGGAUGCUCCAAAAUCCUGGGAUGCUCCAAAACCGUGGGAUGCUCCAAAACCCUGGGAUGCUCCAAAAUCCUGGGAUGCUCCAAAACUCCGGGAUCCUCCAAAACCCUGUAUGCUCCAAAACCCUGGGAUACUACAAAACCCUGGGAUACUCCAAAACCCCUGGGAUGCUCCAAAACCCUGGGAUACUCCAAAAGCUUCAGGAACUGCUGAUGCCUUUCCCUUCCCAGGAUUCUCUAAAAACCCCAGGAUGCUCCAAAACCCUCAGGAUGCUCCAAAACCCCUGGAAUUCUCCAAAACCUCCGGGACAUUCCAAAACCUCCAGGAUGCUCCGAAACCCUGGGAUGCUCCAAAACCCCAGGAUGCCCCAAAACCCCUGGAAUUCUCCAAACCCCCGGGACAUUCCAAAACCUCUAGGAUGCUCCAAAACCCUGGGAUGCUCCAAAACCCCGGGAUGCUCCAAAAAUCCCAGGAUGCCCCAAAACCCCUGGAAUUCUCCAAACCCCCGGGACAUUCCAAAACCCCCAGGAUGCUCCGAAACCCCCAGGAUGCUCCAAAACCCCCGGGAGCCCCGGGAUGCUCGAGCUGCCCGCAGACGCUGGGAUGCGGGUGCGGAGAAUCUCCCGGGAAAAGCAGCCGGGGGAGGGGGGGGGGGAACGGGCGGGGCGGGGCCGGUCCCCCCCCGAGGCCCCCGCCCGCCCUUCCGCACGUUCCUUCCUCCCCCCCGGCAUCCUCCUCCUCCUCCUCCUCCUCCUCCUCCUCCUCCUCCCGCCGCUCUCGCGACAGCUCCGCACAGAAAAUGGCCCCGCGGCCGCCCCGCCGCUGAUGCACGACCCGGGCGGCGCCGCAGCCCCGGCUCAGCCCCGGGUGGAGGGGGUCCCACAACCACGGGGCACCGAGGAGGAGGAGGAGGAGGAGGAGGAGGAAAAGAAGAGGAGGAGGAUGAGGGAGUCAGUGUGGCCCCGGGCUGGGAUCUGACCCC
rnacentral:lncRNA from 1 species